CCUCUCUACCUCUUCUGUCCCUCUCAACCCGCCAGCCAGCAGCAGAUGGGUCCCCCCACAUAAAGAGCCGGGUUCUGCUCAAGGUUUCUUCCCUGUUAAAAGGGUGUUUUUCCUUGCCACUGUCGCCUUUGGGCUUGCUCUGGGGGUCAGGCAUUUGGGUUCUGUAAAGCGUCUUGAGACGAGUUGACUGUAAUUGACGCUAUAUAAAUAAAAUUGAAUUGAAUUGAA